rnacentral:tRNA from 2 species
UGGGGUAUAGACAAGCGGUAAGUCAGCAGACUCUGAAUCUGUCACGCAUUGGUUCGAAUCCAAUUACCCCAGCCA